rnacentral:rRNA from 1 species
GAAUAACAGCUGGAAACGGCUGCUAAUACCGGAUGAUAUCGCGAGAUCAAAGAUUUAUCGCCUGAGGAUGAGCCCGCGUUGGAUUAGGUAGUUGGUGGGGUAGAGGCCUACCAAGCCGACGAUCCAUAGCUGGUCUGAGAGGAUGAUCAGCCACACUGGGACUGAGACAAGGCCCAGACUCCUACGGGAGGCAGCAGUGGGGAAUAUUGGACAAUGGGCGAAAGCCUGAUCCAGCAAUGCCGCGUGAGUGAUGAAGGCCCUAGGGUUGUAAAGCUCUUUUACCCGGGAAGAUAAUGACUGUACCGGGAGAAUAAGCCCCGGCUAACUCCGUGCCAGCAGCCGCGGUAAUACGGAGGGGGCUAGCGUUGUUCGGAAUUACUGGGCGUAAAGCGCACGUAGGCGGCUUUGUAAGUCAGAGGUGAAAGCCUGGAGCUCAACUCCAGAACUGCCUUUGAGACUGCAUCGCUUGAAUCCAGGAGAGGUCAGUGGAAUUCCGAGUGUAGAGGUGAAAUUCGUAGAUAUUCGGAAGAACACCAGUGGCGAAGGCGGCUGACUGGACUGGUAUUGACGCUGAGGUGCGAAAGCGUGGGGAGCAAACAGGAUUAGAUACACUGGUAGUCCACGC